rnacentral:pre_miRNA from 1 species
GCUACUGAUUGUCCAAACGCAAUUCUUGUGAAAUGUCAAACGUUAAAUCGAGAAUUGUGCAUGGACAUCUGUUGC